GACGAACCGUGCAAACGUUGUUCGGAAUCACUGGGCUUAAAGGGCGCGUAGGCGGGCGGCCAAGUCAGGGGUGAAAUCUUUCGGCCCAACCGGAAAAGUGCCUUUGAUACUGGUCGUCUUGAGGGAGGUAGGGGUCGGGGGAACUGGUGGUGGAGCGGUGAAAUGCGUAGAUAUCACUAGGAACGCCGGUGGCGAAAGCGCCCGACUGGACCUCUUCUGACGCUGAGGCGCGAAAGCCAGGGGAGCAAACGGG
rnacentral:rRNA from 1 species